UGUAUGUGAGUCCUUCCGUGUGAAACUGUUGGCUUUGAGGAGAGCGAUAUAACAGCUGUUUAUUUUCUCAUCUAACGUGGUGAAUUAAGGAUUUAUUUCAACCAAACCGGAGUUGGUGGUUGUUGGAACAGCGGAGAGACUAACAAAGACGGUUUUGAGACCGUGAGAGAAAGACAACAAGCGGCAAUCUGUUGGCAUCAGCAAAGCCUGCUGGGAAAUGUGUAUCCCGUGGGAAGCUGUCAGCUCAAAGUAAUUCACUUCCUGGUCGCUCUGCACGCGCUCCCUCAAUGUCAGCGCCGAGGAGAAGACGAGUGGGGAAUCAAUCACAGAGGGAAUUAAAGAGGUCAUCACAUCCUGGCUAGAGGAGUUACUGCACCAGUUGUGGAGAAGGAGAAGAUGAUGGACUGGUUUGAGUGUAUAUGCUACACAGACAAAAGCUUUCUACAAGAUUUUGGAACCCAGCUGCAUGGAUUUUCUCCUGUUCAGCCACAAGAGCAUUAGUGAAGUCGGACACUGAUUCUGGUGAUAAGGCCUGGCUCGCAGUUGGCGCUCCAGCUCAUCCCAAAGGUGUCGGAUGGGGUUGAGGUCAGCUCUGUGCAGGCCAGUCAAGUUCUUCCACACCAAACUGGGAAAAUCAACCCUUGAUGGACUUGGCUUUGUUUAUGGCGGCAUUGUCAUGCUGGGGUCUAAAGUAUAUAGUGCUUUGUAUUAAGGGGUCACAAGCAAAAAUGGUUGGGGAGCUCUGGUCUAAACUAUCAUUGUAUGCUAUAGCAUUAAGAUUUCCCUUAAUUGAAAUUAAGAGGCCUAGCCCAAACCAUGAAAAACAGACACAAAAGUAAGUGGAAAGUGGCAACAUACUUCAAGUACAUAGAUCACAGAAUAUAUCUACUGGCCUUUUUGGCCCCAUGUGCUUUCCAUGAACCUGGAACCUCAUUCCAAUUUUGGUUCAACUAAUCUAAAAAAAGAGCAAGAGAAAGAGUAACUUUAAAGUAAACCCAACUGUAACCAUUUGUUUUGUGGUUGCAAUGCAUACUAAAGCAGAAAAAUAAUCAGAAAACACUUCGUCUUCUAGCCUUUCUAGCAUUUUUAUUCUCCAUUCUCACCUCUGAAUGCCUCCUUUCCAACAUCCUUUCUAACAACACACAGUUGCCGAAAGUAAAUUACAAACGACUCUGUGUUGUUUUGUCAAGUGCAAAAAUUGGGUCUCAAAAAAACUGCUAUUUUAUUUUUAUCAGCCUAAUUUGCCUGAUCUUCAGAGUUAUCCAGAUCCGAUGAAAACGCCAAGGGACUUUUAGUUACUGAGUUGAACUCCCUUGGGCGCUGAAGUUGCUGGGACUAUUUGGUCGAGAACAGGCAUACAGUAAGUACAGCGGGUCAAAGUUGAACCAGGAAACAGCUCUGUAAAAUCUAAUAAAUGUUUGGGAAGGACCUCGAUUUUUACUCCCUGAAAAGUGGUUUAGAUAAUCCUGCUGAACUGUUUACAACCUGUCUCACCAUCUGAUUACGUGUUUACAACCUGUCUCACCGUCUGAUUACGUGUUUACAACCUGUCUCACCAUCUGAUUUGCUGGUGUUGCUCAACCUACUGAAGUAUGACCUAUUGCAGUCGUUGUGUCCCUGCAUAUAAAGCAAUUAGGCUAGUUAUUAAAAAAGUUUCCAUAACCAAUAGCAACAACUAUGACAAAUAAGGCCUAGUUUGAAAAAAAAAAUCCAUUCAAUUGACUGAUUUUAAUUUGAUAUUUAGAUACAGUAAGACUGCAUGGGUGUGUAUUAUCAACAUUACUAUUAGUAGCAGUAGUAGCAGUUAUAAUAGUAGCCUAUUACCCUGUGAGGUUUAUGGCUUUAAUGACAUAAAUAAGAUUUGGCAAUUUGUAACUGGGAGCUUUUGGCAUGAAAAAGACCAAACUCAAACAUACUGAAUAUGGGCACGAAACACAGUCUUGUCAGUUUCAUUUAAAAACAUAUCAGGACUUCAGGAGCCUAUGAGCCGUGAGUCCAACCCCACGAAACACACACUCACACAUCCAUGCAUAACUUCCCCCCAAUGCCUUCCAGCGUAGCCCUUGCCCUAACCACAUAAUGACAUUAGCAUUUCUAGCCCUCUUCCCUCCACAUCUUAUCUACUUCAAAAGCAGCGCUUCAUUAACUACUGCCAUCUAUCAGAGAGCAGGGAGCCGGGUGGAAUGUGCGUGUGUCUCCACAACACUCGCAGUGUUAUGUGGGGUCACAGGCUUGUAGAUUAGUGUGACAGACUGGACGUCACACCUCUCCCUCCGUCCUCCAGCUGCAUGUCGCCUCCACUCAGUAUCAACAUGUUUGCCUCUUAAGGACCAAACACAACAUGACCAAAAGUGUGCAAAAUCUACUUGUUGAAGCUAGCAAAGGGGAAAGUCAUGAGAGAAUUAAAUUAACAAGAAAUUCCCAGCAACACCCUCCUGUUAAAGGAUUUAGCACAACCAGCAUGAAUUACGUCUUUCAUUACGUAUUUAAGCAACAAGCCACGGCAGCGGUGAUUGACACAGAUUUUUUAACAGCUAAGGCUUAUAACUUUUUAAGUUCUUCUAAAACCACUUAGAGAAGUAUUUCAAGUUUCUUAUCUGUUAAGAAUUAUUGAGAAAGAGUGAAAAUGUUGAAGAAAUAUUUAGUUUGAAUACAAAACUGUAUUUUUCCAUCUGGCCCUACACUAAGGGGUUUCUAAUUGACAUAGAAGUGUCCUUAUAGCAAUUUAUUUACUAAUAUAAUAUAUCAUUCAUACUUAGAUUAACAGGUUACAUAGUCCAGUGUUUUUCAGCUAAUCACAUUCAUGUAUAUAUCCCUGUGAGGUAUGUUAUAUCCUGUAAGUGUAUGAUUACAAAUAGGAAAAUGGACCACAAGUAUAGGGUUGAAUUCAUAUUAAAGGGAUAUCUGAGUGGAUCAACACCAAAGACCAAUGGCUGGAGGUUAGGAGGUCAAAAUGAAAUAAAAACUAUUUAAAUCCA